rnacentral:rRNA from 1 species
CUACGGGACGCUGCAGUGGGGAAUAUUGCGCAAUGGGGGAAACCCUGACGCAGUGACGCCGUGUGAGUGAUGAAGGUUUUCGGAUCGUAAAGCUCUGUCAGACGGGAAGAAUAAGAACAGUAAAAAUAUUGCUGUUUGAUGACGGUACCGUCAGAGGAAGCACCGGCUAACUCCGUGCCAGCAGCCGCGGUAAUACGGAGGGUGCAAACGUUGUGCGGAAUUACUGGGCGUAAAGCGCAUGUAGGCGGAUAUGUAGGUCAGAUGUGAAAUCCCUUGGCUCAACCAAGGAAGUGCAUCUGAAACUCCAUAGCAUGAGUACGAGAGAGGGAAGUGGAAUUCCCAGUGUAGAGGUGAAAUGCAUAGAUAUUGGGAAGAACACCGGUGGCGAAGGCGGCUUUCUGGCUUGUAACUGACGCUGAGAUGCGAAAGCGUGGGGAGCAAACAGGAUUAGAUACCCGGGUAGUC